UUGCUAGGGCAGCCUUCUUCAAAUCUGGCCUGUAGUAGUUAUCUGCCACCUGGUUUGUUACAGCUUUUGCCAUCCUACGGAACUCUUUCUUCAUUAAAGAUUUAUGAAGCAAUGACGCAGGUUUGUUCUGUUUCUUGCUCUUAGUUGUUGCAAGCAAAAUGGAUUGAUCUUUUCCUCCAGGUUGGAUUGUAACAGUUUUCUUGUUGGCCAAACCAGAGUGCUUGUAGGAGUUCAGAUUGUAUAAAUUGUUGGGCUCUUUGCUGAACUGAACGCCGGCUGUUCCCCUUCCAAACUCCUUCACCAAAAAAGAGUUGUUCCUCUUAACAAUCUCCCAGAUCAGUUGUCCUGGAACCGCCGCCAUCUUAUUCUUCUGACCCUGAUUUGCGUUAGGGUUUUG
rnacentral:misc_RNA from 1 species